GACGAACGCUGGCGGCGUGCUUAACACAUGCAAGUCGAACGAUGAAGCCCAGUUUGCUGGGUGGAUUAGUGGCGAACGGGUGAGUAACACGUGGGCAACCUGCCCCAAACUCUGGGAUAACUCCUCGAAAGAGGUGCUAAUACCGGAUACGAACUAGACAGACAUCUGUACUAGUUGGAAAGUUUUUCGGUUUGGGAUGGGCCCGCGGCCUAUCAGCUUGUUGGUGAGGUAACGGCUCACCAAGGCUACGACGGGUAACCGGCCUGAGAGGGCGACCGGUCACACUGGGACUGAGACACGGCCCAGACUCCUACGGGAGGCAGCAGUGGGGAAUAUUGCGCAAUGGGCGAAAGCCUGACGCAGCGACGCCGCGUGAGGGAUGAAGGUCUUCGGAUCGUAAACCUCUUUCAGUAGGGACGAAGCGAAAGUGACGGUACCUAAAGAAGAAGCACCGGCUAACUACGUGCCAGCAGCCGCAGUAA
rnacentral:rRNA from 1 species